ensembl:lncRNA
CAACAGUCUGACCAUAUGCCUGUGUAUUACUACUACAUAAAUAUAGUAAUUCAAUGACUGGAUAGGUUAGACUCGGUUGGAUGCCUGUACUCUCAUAUACAGGUGCAUUUGGUCGAGGAGUCAGCAUUAUUCGGGUGGGCUGUGUGUUAUUGGAUAACAAAAAGCAUAGAUAUCUAACAUUGACUGGAUAGGUUAGACUCGGUUGGAUGCCUGUGCUCUCAUAAACAGGUGCAUUUGGUCAAAGGCCGAAGCUGUGAUGUGCUGAGUGAUCAUCCACUCACUGCUACAACUUUGGAGCCUCACCAUUGGGUGAAAUAAUGAUCCUAUGUUGGGACCAUGGGGCUCUCCCUAUAAGAAGUGCCUCAGCUACUCUGUUGAGCCAUUAUUUUCUGGCCUGUCUACUACUCAGCACCAUGUUGUACCUUACCAUAGUCAUCCGAUGGUGUUGUACCCCACUGGACCACAUCAACUUUAUCACGGAUAACAUCACAAAGUGGUAUAUGAACAGGUGGACAUACAACAAUACUAGACAUUUGACAGUUAUCUGCAUUGAGAUUGAACCUAAAGGGACAACCAACUACAUAACCCAGUUAGUACGUUUGAUGCAAAAUCUCUGGGUUGAACCGAAUGUCAAUGUGAUGGAGUGUGGAAAUGUGGAUACGUUGUUGGGAAACAAAAAUGUGUUGGGUGUUGUUAGUAACACCUACAGUGUCACCCACACUGACAGUAGGCCAGGACUCAGUUUCUACAAACAUUUGAGUAACGCAGUGGCAUUAGUGAAAGGGUACGACUGGACGAUACUGAAGGGAUCGACCGUCGCGGACAAGUUGACGAACAUGAAGCUGCACUGUCAACAUGAACCGCACUGUGUCACUGUUGUACUGACUGGGUCAUCAACCAAGAUGAUAACAGUGCAAUGUCAAGAACCACAGAGGAUAUACAACUUGAUGAAGACAUACGGGAUUAGAUGCUCCAACGUCUGGGAUUCCAACAUAGCACUGUCGGCAAUGGCUCCUUGUACAGCGCUGAUUGAGCACAAUAUGAUGCUAAUAUAUGCAGACAUGGUCCCCCACACUGAUAACAUUUGUCAGGACACCAACGUCGACACGUUCUACCACAACAUGAAAUAGAUCACAAUAAAAACAAAGGGCAGAGUACUGAGACACAGACCCUACACAAUGCCUCUUCGCAAGUCGGUACAUCUACCACCACAGCCAACCAGUCGUACUAACACCAUCUCAGGGGACUCUCUGUCUGAGAGUAUACCACUUGCCCUGUACUACAGUGAUCAAUGGGCACGCCUAAACACCGUUAUGGAGUCAGAUGGUCGAUUUGUUUCACAUGUCCAGUGUGUAUCUCCACAUUAUGUGUCUACAGAUACAUGUAUGGUGGAAUUUGCAUCAGACCAAAACGUUGUGCUUACAGGUAAGCAGAUCAUUGUACAUAGCUAUUGUAACUAUACCCUUCAAUGGACGUUCUGUACACUUCACUUUCUGUACACUUGAGUUGUAUAACGUAUGUGUCUAUCCUUAUAGCGCCUGAUGACAAUGAUGAUUUGGACGACAUAUACCGAAACCCAUUUCCUGUCUCUGCUGUUUGAAAAUGUCAAACCGCUACCUUACAUGUGGACACAUCAUGUGUCUACAGUGUAUAAGACGUAUCAAGAAAGAUGGUGUCCUUCAGUGCCCAAUGUGCAGAACACAGUCCACCUGUAACAGACCCCUUAUAGGUGUACCAGACUUUGUGUUUACAUGUCAUGCAUGUUCUAGUGGCCAUGUAACAUACAGAUGCUGUAGCACCUGUUCUGAAUGCUCUACAUCCUUUACAAAACUCAGCAAACUGUACACAGUAGUGUAAAUGACAUGUAUCCAUAACGACCCUAUCGGCAAGGCUUGUAUUGUGCAAUGAAAUGCUUUUAUUGUGUCAUGUACCAUUGCAGAAGACAACAUAUUCCAUAUAACAUACUAUGUCCCUGUCAACAUAUAAUGUAAUGCUUUUUGUAUAUAUUACCUUGUGAAGAAUAAACUGUUUUAUAGUACCUGAAUAACUGUUUAAAAGAAAAACAUUUGUAUAUGACAUGGAUUACCUUGUAUAAAUAAACUACUUCUAUCAACCACUUUGUUGUAAUGUUGAGUAAGGACUUUGAUGAACACUAUCCAACUAUAACUGACCUUGUAGUACAAUGUGACUAGUUUCAAUAGUAUCUACACUAUGUGUUGGGUUGGAAAGGACUGGACCUUAACAUGAACCAUCGGACAUGUGUACAAAGGCCUGCUUGUGUACCUGGAACUGAGAUGUGAAAGGUAGCCUUGCAAGGUUGUAUGUGUAAAAGCCUUCACUUUUGACAGCAAGCAGGUAGUACAAUUUGGCCCUGUUCUCUCUGUAUACUAUGAUGGUGUAGUAUAGCACAAGUGCUAUUGUCUUUAACUCCAUAUAUCUCGUGUUCAUCCCCUGGGGCCCAACAAAUAAACAGACUACAUCCCAGUGUCUGAGAGAGUUGUGCCAUCUGUGAGCAAUGACAGGUGCUUUGGUUAUAUUCUGACAGGGCCUU